GGCCUAACCCAUCGCAAGGCUGCCACCGAGCAAUUAGACCAAGAUGUCGUCAGAAAGUUAGUGGACAUACUCAGGGAAAACCCGUACUCCCAGCAGUUUAGGAGUUUGGGUGCGCACAGGGACAACCUCGACGAUUACAGGAUAGACCUCAACACUGACCAGAGACUAGACCAACGGAAGUAUAAUAGACCCCUGUCAUCUGAGGUCACUGCAAUUUGGGUGGAGGGCACUGACCUAGCAAAGAGGUUCGAUCGUAGGAUUACACUUUGCGGGAAUGACAACCAGAGGCACAGUAUACAUGUGACGGCUGGCUCGUAUGACCCUCUCUCUUACCCACUCUUCUACCCAAGGGGGGAGCUCGGU
rnacentral:rRNA from 1 species